AUCACCUGGGAAUCUUGUUAAAUAAAGCAGAUUCUGAUUAAGUAGCUUGGUGUGGGGCCUAGGAUUCUGCAUUUCUAAUGAGCUCCCAGGUGUUGCUGA
rfam:Pongo abelii chromosome 21, whole genome shotgun sequence.